AAGCAAACCAUUUUACUCAACACGUGGGGUAGACAACAUAAUCAGCUUAAGGCAACGACGAAUUUAAAGUGGAGCUAUCUCUCCUUCCUCUAAUUCAUCUUCCAUUGGUAAAAUGUCACCCAGCAAUGACCAAUACUUUUCUCCAAUCGGGUCCAUCUCUUUCGUUGACAUAACUUGUGAAUCAAAACUUAUCAAUGUAUCACCAAGUACAGAUGCAGUGUCCUCCUCGACAACUGAUAACACGUCUGAUGACUUGUUAGAGGUCUGGAAUGUUG
rnacentral:misc_RNA from 1 species